UACAGAGGUCUCAAGCGUUGUUCGGAAUCACUGGGCGUAAAGGGUGCGUAGGCGGCGGAGUAAGUCGGAUGUGAAAUUUGAGGGCUUAACCCUCAACGUGCAUCUGAUACUGCUUUGCUAGAGGCCUGAAGAGGAGCUUGGAAUUCUUGGUGUAGCAGUGAAAUGCGUAGAUCUCAAGAAGAACGCUCGCAGCGAAAGCGAAGCUCUGGUCAGGAUCUGACGCUGAGGCACGAAGGCUAGGGGGAGCAAAACGGGG
rnacentral:rRNA from 1 species